rnacentral:rRNA from 1 species
AUUGAACGCUGGCGGGAUGCUUUACACAUGCAAGUCGAACGGAGUGGCGGACGGGUGAGUAAUAUCUCGGAACGUGCCUGGUAGCGGGGGAUAACUACUCGAAAGAGUGGCUAAUACCGCAUACUAUGGGAGGGGCCGAUAUGGGAUUAGCUGGUUGGUGGGGUAAAGGCUCACCAAGGCAACGAUCCGUAGCUGGUUUGAGAGGAGGACCAGCCACACGGGGACUGAGACACGGCCCAGACUCCUACGGGAGGCAGCAGUGGGGAAUUUUGUACAAUGGGGGAAACCCUGAGCCAGCCAUCCCGCGUGUAUGAUGAAGGCCUUCGGGUUGUAAAGUACUUUUGGCCGAGAAGCGGUAUCUGCAGAAUAAGCACCGGCUAACUACGUGCCAGCCGCCGCGGUAAUAC